rnacentral:rRNA from 1 species
UCAUGACUGGGGUGAAGUCGUAACAAGGUAACCGUAGGGGAACCUGCGGUUGGAUCACCUCCUUACCGAG